rnacentral:siRNA from 1 species
AGAUAACUCCAGCAAGUCCACCAC